CGGCACCUUAGCCACUGUGAAGCAAAUUAAGUUUAAUUUUGUUUAUAAAAAACAAUGAAGCUGCAUUUAUCAACAUGACGGUCGGUCGUAACAGAGUUCAGUUUUUCCCAUUGUCCUGCACUGACCUCAUCGCUCGGUUACUUUUGCUAACACGGGCUCUCAUCCUGUACGUCACAGUCACGCAAAGUCUAGAUGGAGACCUGAUUAUGUAUGGCCAGCAAGACAGAGCCUUUCAAUUGCAAGAACAGCUGGGUUCUUCACACCGUCAGGAAGAAACCACCCCAUCCACACAUGACCACGUUUUUCCCUUCCUCCACACCUGUGCAAUACUUCCCAGCCGCCAAACUCCAAACAUUUUACAGAGAUGGGGACACCUCACCCAGAAAGAACUGAACAACAAAAGGAAAGGAGAGAGGUACUGGAAAACUGCUGUUGCAGCAUGGAAAAAGCAACAACAACAACAACAACAACAAGAAUGUAUUUCCACAGCAACGAUUUUCUGUACACGAAACGUAGUGGGGUUUAUACAGGAGGUGGUGUGCAGUGGUUGUCCUGCAUCUGCACCGGCAGUUUGUACCCUGCAUUGCUGCAGUGCAGCCUGCCCUCCCUCUGCGUUUCAACCUUGUGCCAAAGGGGUCAUGGCUAAGGGCAGGAGUGUGACGAUGCUAAUGUUGCCUCCGCUCUUCUGGGUUAGGAGAAGCUGGAUCUCAGGCUACUGGGGGCUUUCAUUAACUGUAGUAGGUUUAAAUUAAGCUUUGCCCUUAUUUAUUUAUUUUUUUUAAUAAAUAGUUUGUGUUUAUGUAUUGAUAAACAUCGUUUCUCUAACAGUGAGGAUUACCAGUUUGUUUUACCCCAGGAAGGUAUGUAUGAGAAUCCUUGAGCAAAUAGAAGUCUUUGGGUUUUUGGACUAGUGAUGUUUCCAAAGUACUGGGCUUUCCCUGUGAAGCACACAAGGGAAAUACAACAUCCUUAGGGAGAGAUUUUUUUUCUUCACUUAGGAUUUGGUGUAAAAUUUCAGUCUGGUUUUAACUACAGCUCUCCUUUAAGGCUUAAAAUAUGACAAUACGUUAAUCCUUAUUUUUAUAGAUGUGAGUAAUUCCUGCUACAGGUUUUCGAUUCACCUACAGGAACACUCAGGUUUGGAUAUCUCCCCAUUAUCUGACUUCUAACUCUGGAUUUCAGCUGGGCUGCAUGAGAUCCCUCUCAUAACAAAUGGGGUUUUUAUGCAUGUGUGUUUUUCCAGUUCAUAGUGCCUGGGACAGAGCAAGCACUACGACCUUGGAGAGCUUACACUGCCUACUGCACAGUGUAGCAUCGGGGUAUACAGUCUGAAGUAUAAAACCUGAAGAAGGCAGCAAAGAGUUUGAGGAACCAGUUCUGAUACAGUCUCAUGUGCACUCUCCAUUGCCAGCUCUGUGGUGCACUAGAUCUCUCUCAUAAAUUGCUAUUUAGCACAGUUCAAGAGUUGUACAGUAUUAGUGAUAGGUCCCAAAGUGGAGCUAGGUCUCUGUCGUUGGCUUAUUUUGCAGUAAGAACAUGCCAUAAAGUCCUGUUCCUGUUCUAGGUCAGAAUGGUGAGGGUGGUUUACAAAAAGCUGGUUUAAGUCCAGUCAUUGUGCAGAUAGUAAGUGUUCCUCUGAGCCACACGAAGGCCCCAGUCCAGGUAUUUCUCUCAGUGUAAUAUAUGCUGCCAAAUUUGUGUGUUUCUGAAUAUCCAGCAGCAUUCACUCCCAGCUCUCCAUUAGUCCAGUGACCGAGGCACUUGCUCAAGAAGCAAGGUAACCUGUCCAAUUCUCUUUUCAUCUGUAGGAAGCAUGCACAUUUCAAAUCACCACACCAUGUCUUUCCAGGAGAAAGGGUAAGGAAUGAGUCUGGCCAUUCACUUACUGCCUUUUGAAGCAGGGCAUCGUGCAGAAACAGUCAGAGAGGGCAGACAAGACCCUUCAGCUGGGAGCUGUUUGGUGUCUGCUCCAAGAACAGUUCCCAUAUUUCAUGUUUGUGUGAAAUACAGUGCUAGAGAGAAAUACAGUGGGAGCCUUUUCUCCAAGGUUCAUGGCCUUUCUGUAGGAUACCAUGAUUGUAAGUCACCUGCAAAGCUCAGCUUCUCCCUCUGGUCCAGGGAAUAUCCGACAGGGAGAGCAACUAAGGAGCUUGUUCACCAGAUGAACCCAGAAAUAUAACUGUGUGGCUACAGAUAGCAGCUCUGUGAAAAUCUGGGCUUAGUAUGAGUGUUGAUCCCAAGCCUUAUUUGCCACCACUUGAAGACACUGUAGGACACAUACGCAUAACCUCUAAUGGGUGCCUAUGCUCAGGCAGAAGACAAGCACAGGGAAGGAAGCAUAGCUGUGAUCAGCAAGAAUCACAACUGAAAAACUACAGGGAUCAACUGAAGUGACACACCAUUUAAUUCAUCAGCAGGUAGCAGCAAAAACAAACAGCAGAACCUGUGUCUACAGAGCAGAUGCAAGAAGAGAAGUGAGGGAACGGUGCAUAAAAGGCAGAAGGCUGGCAGAGCUGUCGGGCAAUGGGAUGGGCACAGGGUCCUCCAGGGAAGCUUGUGCUGUGCUAAGAAAGAAGCACAGCAGGCUUGGCCUGAUUCUGUCCUUGCUGGCCCACAGUGAGCACCUUAAGGCAGCAGAGUGGGCAAUGCCUCACUGUGCAGAUGUGCCAUGUUUGGCAGCUCCUUUGCAGCUGCCAUGUGCUCGCACCUUUGGAUUGUGGGGCCAAGCAAUGCUGCAUGUGAAGGAAGUGAGAUGGACUAAAAGCAACUGCUUCGACAGGGUUACUUUCAAAUCCCCUGAUGAAAGUACACAGUACUUUUACACAGUACCCUCCUGUUACUAGUGCUGAUGUGCAGGAGGAAACAGAAAGAGAAGCAGAGAAGGAUGAGAUGAGAUGAAAGGGUCUCGACCACUGAUGGAAUGAAUUGCUAGUCUGUCCUCGAGUUGGAGAUAGCAUAAAGCAACUUUUAGGGAAGCCCACACAGCCGAGGAGCACAUCUUUGCUAUUUGUUUUCAAGGAGUAUUCUUAGUAUUGGCAGUAAGGUGCAAACUGGGAAUUAACCACACGGUGACACAUGAUUGCUUGCCAGAGCUGAUAGACUCAAGCCACCGUUGGCGAAACUAAUGUGGCCGUGCAGAGACUGCGGUGCGAGAGUGCCCCCUGUUGUUCCAAUGAGACUUGUAAGAGCUCUGAAUCAGUCAUACACGGCAAAGGGGCUGCAUAGCGUUGGAAGGUGGCUUUAAGUGGAGAAAACGGCACGUAGUGGGAGGCUGACAAAGCCAGGAGGGUGUGUGGCAAAGCACUAGAAGAGCACAACGAGAACCAAGAGGCAUGUGCUCCUACAGGGCAGAAUCUCUUAUUACUCUGGCAAAAACGUGGCUGUAAGGUCAUGCAUUACUCAGGCUAUAGUGAGGAGUCUGAGAAGUGGAAAAUCUCUGCUGCAUCGCAUAAGAGCAAGAGAAAUACCACCACGAAUUAAUGGUUUAUGUGCAGCCCACACUUUGCUCCCUGCAGCACAAGAACAGUCUUACUUAGGCACACGUAAGUACCUCUCUCUGCCUUCCACUUAGCAGGAUACCUUUGAAAGGCCUCUAAAGGCAGAUAAAGUCCUGCUUUGGCAAAAUCUUUCCUCCUGUUUGCUGGAACCCUGGAUAUCAUCUACCCUGCAUACUUCAGAGAUUUUAUUUCUGUAUGUCAUCCCUGCACUGUUGAAUUCCUUCUGAUGACCUGGGGCUAUGAGGAACACCUGGUUUAGUCUUUUAUUCAGUUUGAUCAAAGGAGCACUGACACAGCCAAGCAUUUGGCUGAAUGAGCGCUUUGCUAUGAAUAGCACAGAUAUUUGGACUCAAGUGUAUGUUAGCAGCAAUCAAUUGAAAUCUUCAUAACAAAGGCCUGUGGGAACUAAAGGUGGAUGAAAGAAGAGGAAAAGAUGCUUUGUAGGGCUAGGUUAGGACAUAAAGACCUGCAUCUUGUAAGCAGGUCAGCUGUUCCACACAGAGCCAGCAGCAUGCAGACACUGGUAUUCUGCCUCGUCCCCCCAUCACCAACAAUAAAGUGGCUAUGGUGAAUGCAGGCUGAAAUUCACAUCACAUACUGGUGAAUGUGGCAUAACCACCCAGGACUGGGUAGGCUGAGUGACUGCGGGAGCAGAAAGCUAGUUAAUUAAUUAGUAUUAAUGCAAUACUAGGAUGGGGAGAGUUUGCAUGCUACCCAGGUCUAUAGAUUACAUACUGACGUGAAAUAUAGAACGGUUAUUAGGGGCAGCAAGUGAAAGCAAUUGUUCUCCUGACAGCAACAGCAGUGACAUCAGAGGAAACUAGCAAGCAAUAGGAUGAUGGUUCCUAUUUUGAAAAUAUUCAAUGCAUAUUGCUUUUGAAGAUACGCACUGGGGAAACAGAGCAACACCGAUGAAGAAAACAGGCAGCAAAAAGCUAUCUGAUUGAGCUGUUACAUGGGCUUAUCACUUUGAGAUAAAAUGGGGCUUUCUCCAUCAGCUAUAAUGCUUAUGUGUGCUUUGAGUUUAUGGAGACAAAGUUUUUAUCACAGAACCUAACAGGGAACCACAGUCAAAGCUUAGGUCAGAUGCUAUAAAAGUAGAAUCAUCCAGUGAUCCUAGUAGUUUAAUUCAUUGUGGGAGAAUCUCCUGAGAACCAGCAACUUGAAGAACAGCUGUUUGACCCAUAUUGUUGAUUGCAAAUUGUUUAAGGAAGAAUGAACAGAAGAGUCUGAGGAGGUGUAGGGACAAGGAAGGAAAGUUUUGGGAGGAAGGGAGAAAGAGAAGGAAAAUAUAAGUGCUCUGAGUGACCAAAGUGUUUAAGGCUGGAGAGACUGGUUUGCACAUCCGAAGGUCUGAGUGGGGAUAAUGCAUACCUACAGCCAAGCCACUGGAGCAGACUGAUCAGUUCUUCCCCAUGCAGAGUUCAUGGCUGUGAGAACAAAAACCACUGAUGGAUGCAGCACUGCUCCUGGGAACAUAAAACAUGGAUAUUCUCACUGAUUUAUUGUGGUAACUGCUUAUAGUUUUAAUUAGAAGGGAUGCAGGUACACUCCAUGUUUGUAAUCACAAUCAGCAACAGAAGGCUGACCUUUCCCAUCAAAACAAAUAUAGCUUCACCUGUAAUCAAAUUAAAUGGCUGACCAUUUGGUUUACCUAUAAAGACCUCUAAUUCUUAACUCAACCCUCCAACCAUGGUAAUUUAUCUGCAAAACAUUUUUUUUUUUAAAGAGGUUCUAUCUGCAGUUUUUGUGCAUAUGGCAAAGAAAAGAUGAAAAAAAUAUGUAGCUUAUAACUAGAAAUACCUAUUGGGCUGCAAGGCAGUACUGAAUUUUCUGUGCUACUGAGUAAAGACAAGAAGAGCAAAGGUAGUUAAGAGUUCUGUUUGCAGCACCCAUUCUAGAGCAUCUCUCAGUAGUUGCUUAGAUGUUUUGGCUGAUAUCAAAGGCCCUGUGAACUGCCUUUUGGGUGCUGUUCUGCAGAGGAGAAGCUGUGAUCCCUGGCUGCACAGUAGUAGUGAGUUUGGAGUGAACAGCCAAAAAGAAAAUCCAGUAAGUUUAUGGACAAAGAUGGAUAUCUCCUUAGUCAGUGGUCUCCAGGGUGUUCUGGAUAAGCUCCAUGCUCUGGAGACCUCCAGGGGAGCCUGAGAUAUAUCUCUGAUAAGGUGUACUGGGCAGAAGCAAGAAACCAUGCUAAAGUCAGUAAUUGAUGUCCAAAGUCUGUUUACAUAUGUACCUCCGAAAGGUAUAAAUAGAAACUCACUUUCUUCAAAAAACAAACCCCUGUACAAAAUCACAGAAUCAUAGAAUGUCUUAGGUGGGAGGGAAGCUUAAAGAUCACCUAGUUCCAACCCCCCAGCCAUGGGUUGGUUGCUAACCACCAGCUCAGGCUGCUGAGGGCUCCAUCCAACCUGUCCUUGAAUGUCUCCAGAGAUGGGGCAUCCACAACCUCUCUGGGCAGCCUUUGCCAGUGCUUGCCACUCUCUGAGCAAAAAACGUCUUCCUAGCAUCUCACCUAAAUCUCCCAUGUUUUAGUUUAAAGCCAUUCCCCCUUGUCCUAUCACUAUCAGACUGUACAAAAAGUCAGUCCCCCUCCUGCUUGUAAGCUCCCUUCAGUACUGGAAGGCCAGUCUCUUUUAUCCAGUCUCUCUUAUCCAGGCUAAACAAGUCCAACUCCCACAACCUUUCUUCAUGGGAGAUAGAAGAAAGCCCCUCUGCAGAUCUCCUAGACAUGCAGGGGCCUCACGUGGGAUGCUCAGCACACUUCAGACUUCUUAACGUGGAUCAUCUCUGGUGUGAAACACUUGCUGCACUGAUUAACCCUGCUCUUGGGGAUGGCUUAGUGAGUGUUAUGCUGGUGGCACCACGUAUACGGAUGUAGCUCUACACACACAUACCCACAUAUCUAUCUAUAGACACAUAUACAGGUAAAGGAUCAGCUUGCUUCACCAGCUGAAAUUCAAUAGUAACUUCUAAAGUACAUAUGUUAGAGCACCUGAGACCAGACUCAAUAGCUCUGGGAUGUCUCUAGGCUAUCCGAGAGCUCACUGUAGGGCCCUGAGAGACCUCUAUGUCACAACAGAGGGCCCUGGGGUCCAUGGGACUGUUGUAGGGUGUCCUAAGGUACACUGGGGCACUUGGGAGACUUCUUGGGAAAUAUGGGAAGGCUAUUUGCUGCCCCGAGACGUGAAAGGGGAUUGAAGUGGUGGGAUCUGAUCAGCAGGGAGGUGAUUCCCCUGGGAGAGUUCCCUAGAGUGCACUGGGAGGUCUCUGCAGUGCUCUACAGCACACUGUGGAGCUGAUGGGUACAUUGGGUGGGGUGGCCUGUCAUGCCCCAUGGGAAUGCAUAGGAGAGUGUGGGGACAGUAGAGGACCAUGGAGUCCAUAGGGGGAGAGAGCGGAGAUGUGAGGGACUGAUAUAGAAUCAUAGAAUCGCUAAGGUUGGAAAAGACCCACAGGAUCAUCCAGUCCAACCAUUCGCCCUUCACCAAUGGUUCUCACUAAACCAUGUCCCUCAACACAACAUCCAAACGUUCUUUGAACACCACCAGGGUUGGUGACUCCACCACCUCUCUGGGCAGCCCAUUGCAGUGCCUGACCGCCCUUUCAGAGAAGUAGUAUUUCCUAAUGUCCAACCUGAACCUUCCCUGGCGCAGCUUGAAGCCAUUCCCUCUAGUCCUAGAGGGAAUAUAAGUGUUGUUGUUGGUAGGAGGACUUGCUUUGACAUAAGAUCAGGGAGAAUGUGAGGGGGACAAGUGGUGGGGAGCAAUAUGCUAUCCAACGUCAGUGUUUCUGUUGAGGUUAUGUGGUGUGGUUGAGCUUGUUAGUUUAAAACUGAUUCGUUCAUCUUCCUUAGAAGCACUUACCAAGAAGCGUUCUAAGAAUACAGAGAAGAGUUAACUGGAAGGCCGUUGUGGGUAGCAGGGGUACUGCAGUGUAACUGCUGCUCACAGGGCCUCGGCUGCAGCAUCACCCUGAGAAGAAAAGCGCAAGGCAGGGCCGGAAGGGUUAAACUGGGUGCAGAACGGGGCAUCGCUGGUGGGUCCGGGGCCCUUCCGAGAGAAACGCCUUAAGGAUCCGCGCUGCUAACGGACAUCAAGAUCCGCAUCGCGCCCGCCGCGCCGCCACGUAGCUGCAACCCAACGCAGCAGGAAGUAAACACAGCGACUUCCUGCAGGCCGCGCUAGGCCCCCGGUUCCAGCAGGCUCUAUGGUCAUCGGUCCUCCACGUGAAUUGCGCACGCGUGCUAAACCAUCCUGGAGGUCAUACACUGCGCAUGCGUAGCGGCUCUCCGCUGCUCCCCGCUGACUGCCAUGCGGCACUGCACGUACCGGAGCGGCGGCACCUGCGCAUUGCGGUGCGCAUGCGUAGAACAAUCAGGAGGACCGGGUACAAUAGAGAUCAGCGUACUGCUGGUGUACAGCUGUCCCUGCAGAAAGACGCUACUUCCGUGUUGCCGGGCGCAUGCGUUUCACCUUCCGGAGGACUGAAAACCAUAGAAAAUAGCGAACCGGCGGCGUAGGAGUGCACGACAAUCAGAGACUACUUCCGGAAACACAGGCGCACGUGUACCAUGACAUGGAGAACCUAUUGCCAUGGAAACAGCCGGCUGGAGACAGGGAGCAACACCAAACAGCGCUUCCGUGUUCCAGCACCCAUGCCCACCACGACCCGAAAAAUACCCUGCCUUAGCGCAGCCAGAACUGCUUUGCCAACACCUUCUACUCACACAGAAGCUACCUCUCCUCACACAUCAGAGCUUCCAGCGGCGUUCUUGGGGGGGGGGAUUCCCCACUCUAAACAGGGGUGAGGCACGGGGAAGCCUUCUGGAGAUCUCUGCGACUCUCUGUGGCGGCUGUGCGGGUAGAGGCGGCCGACAGAACCCCGAGACCACUCUGCCGCCCGCCCGCGGCUCCAAGCGCCCAGCAGGCCGCUCCG
ensembl:lncRNA